GAUGAACGCUGGCGGCGUGCCUAAUACAUGCAAGUCGAGCGAACAGACGAGGAGCUUGCUCCUUUGACGUUAGCGGCGGACGGGUGAGUAACACGUAGGUAACCUACCUAUAAGACUGGGAUAACUUCGGGAAACCGGAGCUAAUACCGGAUAAUAUUUCGAACCGCAUGGUUCGAUAGUGAAAGAUGGCUUUGCUAUCACUUAUAGAUGGACCUGCGCCGUAUUAGCUAGUUGGUAAGGUAACGGCUUACCAAGGCAACGAUACGUAGCCGACCUGAGAGGGUGAUCGGCCACACUGGAACUGAGACACGGUCCAGACUCCUACGGGAGGCAGCAGUAGGGAAUCUUCCGCAAUGGGCGAAAGCCUGACGGAGCAACGCCGCGUGAGUGAUGAAGGUCUUCGGAUCGUAAAACUCUGUUAUUAGGGAAGAACAAACGUGUAAGUAACUGUGCACGUCUCGACGGUACCUAAUCAGAAAGCCACGGCUAACUACGUG
rnacentral:rRNA from 1 species